rnacentral:rRNA from 1 species
UCCUCCCUCUGGCGGCGUGCUUAACACAUGCAAGUCGAACGGAAAGGCCUCUUUCGGGGGGUACUCGAGUGGCGAACGGGUGAGUAACACGUGAGUAACCUGCCCUUGACUUUGGGAUAACUUCAGGAAACUGGGGCUAAUACCGGAUAGGAGCUCCUGCUGCAUGGUGGGGGUUGGAAAGUUUCGGCGGUUGGGGAUGGACUCGCGGCUUAUCAGCUUGUUGGUGGGGUAGUGGCUUACCAAGGCUUUGACGGGUAGCCGGCCGGAGAGGGUGACCGGCCACAUUGGGACUGAGAUACGGCCCAGACUCCUACGGGAGGCAGCAGUGGGGAAUAUUGCACAAUGGGUGGAAGCCUGAUGCAGCAACGCCGUGUGCGGGAUGACGGCCUUCGGGUUGUAAACCGCUUUCGCUCAUGACGAAGCUUUGUGUGACGGUAGUGGGUAAAGAAGCACCGGCUAACUACGUG